AUGUCCGUCUGUCCCCAUAUCCAUUUGUCCCCAUGUCCGUCUGUCCCGUGUCCAUCUAUCCCCAUGUCCGUAUGUCCCCAUAUUCAUCUGUCCCUAUGUGACCUGAUGGCCCCAUGUCCCUCUGUCCCCAUAUCCCCAUACCCUGAUGUGUCCCCAUGUCCCGUGUCUGUGUGUCCCCAUGUCCCUCUGUCCCCAUACCCCUAUGUCCGUGUGUCCCCAUAUCCAUGUGUCCCCAUGUCUGUGAGUCCCCAUGUCCCUCUGUCCAUAUGUCCACGUGUCCCCACACCUUCAUGUCCUUCUAUCCCCAUGUCCCUCUGUCCAUAUGUCCCUGUGUCCCCAUACCCCCAUGUCUUUAUGUCCCUGUGUAUCUGUGUGUCCCCAUGUCCCUCUGUCCCUAUAUCCCUGUGUCCCCAUAUGCAUGUGCCCCCAUAUCCAUCUAUGUCCCCCUAUCCAUGUCCCCAUAUCCAUGUGUCCCUAUACCCUCAAAUCCAUAUGUCCCCAUAUCCGUGUGUCCCCCCAUCCCUCUGUCCCCAUAUCCAUCUAUGUCCCCAUAUCCAUAAUGUCACCGUAUCCACGUCCCCAUAUCCAUGUGUCCCCCAUCCCUCUGUCCCCAUAUCCAUAUAUGUCCCCAUAUCUAUGUCCCCAUAUCCAUCCAUGUCCCCAUAUCCAUGUCCCAUAUCCAUCUAUGUCCCCAUAUCCAUGUCCCCAUAUGCAUCUAUGUCCCCAUAUGCAUCUAUGUCCCCAUAUGCAUCUAUGUCCCCAUAUCCAUAUGUCCCCAUAUCCGUAUGUCCCCAUAUCCGUAUGUCCCCAUAUCCAUGUCCCUAUAUCCAUCUAUGUCCCCAUAUCCAUGUCCCUAUAUCCAUCUAUGUCCCCAUAUGCAUCUAUGUCCCCAUAUGCAUCUAUGUCCCCAUAUCCAUAUGUCCCCAUAUCCAUAUGUCCCCAUAUCCGUAUGUUCCCAUAUCCAUGUCCCCAUAUCCAUCUAUGUCCCCAUAUCCAUGUCCCCAUAUCCAUAUAGUCCCCAUAUCCAUGUGUCCCUCCGUCCCUCUGUCC
rnacentral:lncRNA from 1 species